UGGGGAAUAUUGCACAAUGGGCGAAAGCCUGAUGCAGCGACGCCGCGUGAGGGAUGACGGCCUUCGGGUUGUAAACCUCUUUCAGCAGGGACGAAGCGCAAGUGACGGUACCUGCAGAAGAAGCACCGGCUACCUACGUGCCAGCAGCCGCGGUAAUACGUAGGGUGCAAGCGUUGUCCGGAAUUACUGGGCGUAAAGAGUUCGUAGGCGGUUUGUCGCGUCGUUUGUGAAAACCAGCAGCUCAACUGCUGGCUUGCAGGCGAUACGGGCAGACUUGAGUACUGCAGGGGAGACUGGAAUUCCUGGUGUAGCGGUGAAAUGCGCAGAUAUCAGGGGGAACACCGGUGGCGAAGGCGGGUCUCUGGGCAGUAACUGACGCUGAGGAACGAAAGCGUGGGUAGCGAACAGG
rnacentral:rRNA from 1 species